rnacentral:rRNA from 1 species
GAUGAACGCUAGCGGCAGGCUUAACACAUGCAAGUCGAGGGGUAUAGUUCUUCGGAGCUAGAGACCGGCGCACGGGUGCGUAACGCGUAUGCAAUCUACCUUUUGCAGAGGGAUAGCCCAGAGAAAUUUGGAUUAAUACCUCGUGGUAUGUGAGAAUGGCAUCAUUUUCACAUUAAAGUCACAACGGCAAAAGAUGAGCAUGCGUCCCAUUAGCUAGUUGGUAAGGUAACGGCUGACCAAGGCAACGAUGGGUAGGGGUCCUGAGAGGGAGAUCCCCCACACUGGUACUGAGACACGGACCAGACUCCUACGGGAGGCAGCAGUGAGGAAUAUUGGACAAUGGGCGCAAGCCUGAUCCAGCCAUGCCGCGUGCAGGAUGACGGUCCUAUGGAUUGUAAACUGCUUUUGUACAGGAAGAAACACUGGUUCGUGAACCAGCUUGACGGUACUGUAAGAAUAAGGAUCGGCUAACUCCGUGCCAGCCGCCGCAGUAAGAC